GAUGAACGCUGGCGGCGUGCCUAAUACAUGCAAGUCGAGCGAACAGACGAGGAGCUUGCUCCUCUGACGUUAGCGGCGGACGGGUGAGUAACACGUGGAUAACCUACCUAUAAGACUGGGAUAACUUCGGGAAACCGGAGCUAAUACCGGAUAAUAUAUUGAACCGCAUGGUUCAAUAGUGAAAGACGGUUUUGCUGUCACUUAUAGAUGGAUCCGCGCCGCAUUAGCUAGUUGGUAAGGUAACGGCUUACCAAGGCGACGAUGCGUAGCCGACCUGAGAGGGUGAUCGGCCACACUGGAACUGAGACACGGUCCAGACUCCUACGAGAGGCAGCAGUAGGGAAUCUUCCGCAAAGGGCGAAAGCCUGACGGAGCAACGCCGCGUGAGUGAUGAAGGUCUUCGGAUCGUAAAACUCUGUUAUUAGGGAAGAACAAAUGUGUAAGUAACUAUGCACGUCUUGACGGUACCUAAUCAGAAAGCCACGGCUAACUACGUG
rnacentral:rRNA from 1 species